rnacentral:ncRNA from 1 species
AGGAGCCGUGCGAGAUGAAAGUCUCAUGCACGGUUUUGCAUGAGAGAAAGAAGCGAGGAAUCCUCUUUACGACUCUGAC